GCCGAAGUGGCGAAAUGGCAGACGCGGAGCACUCAAAAUGCUUUUCCUCACGGAGUGCGGGUUCAAGUCCCGCCUUCGGCACCA
rnacentral:tRNA from 2 species